GAAACACACAGGCCAGAAUGAGGGUAUGCCGCGACACUGAACAGAGAAAAACGCAGACAAUAAAUACCAGAGGAAAACAUGGGAAUGAGGAUCAGGUUCUUUGGACUGGUCAGCAGCGGAUGACAUGCUCCACAGCAGAUCUGCUCCUCCAGUCCACACCUCACCUGCAUCUUUUUUAGCAGCAUUGUGGGCUAAAGCAGAGGAACCUGUACCCUCAGUUUCCUUUGCUUCUGUUGCAUCCUCUGCUUUUUCUCCUUCCCCUCCUCUUGGCUUCCUCUGCACUGGUUUCUUCGGCACCUUCUGCAUUCUCUGCUCCCUCAUCAAGGAGGAAAUGGCAUCCUCAUCAUCAACAGUUCUCUCUACCAUUGGCAUCAGCUACCUUGGUCCGUCUGCUGACACAGGGCUGACAGAUUACACUGUUUUGAUGCACUAGAGAUGUCUCAAGUGGAAGGUCCAAAUCAGAUGAACAGGAGAUCAGGAGGAGACUGAAAGCGAUGAAACCCAGGAGACCUGCAGGCCCCGAUCCCAUCCCAGGGGCUGUGGUCAAAGCCUGGUUGAACCAACUGGCAGGAAU
ensembl:lncRNA